rnacentral:lncRNA from 1 species
GUAAAACCCUAACUAAGACACACGGAAAGCUAAGCAAUGUAAGAGAUCUAAAAAUCACACAGACGAGUGGUAGUGGAGGCCCAUAAAAUCGACAGGCACAACCGCAGAGGACAGGUAGAGCCCAGAGGGUAUGUGGCUACCAGAAGUUGCCAGCUGGCCUCACCCGUAUUUACACACUCACACUACUGUCUUUGUCUAGGCCGUGGCUCUGAACUGGCUUCAGGUUGAGACUUGGUUGGUACUUGGUUCUUGACAGUUUGGAGAUCUGUUUAGGGGCAAGGUCAUUCAUUCACAGACUAACCACAGGGGCCAUUUUAGAAGAGCACCUUGAAGCCGGACAGUGAUGGCACACACCUUUAAUCCCAGCACUCAGGAGGCAGAGGCAGGAGGAUCUCUGUGAGUUUGAGAGAAGCCUCGUCUACAGUGUGAGUUCCAGGACGGCCAGGGCUACAUUGAGAAAUCCUGUCUCAAAAAACCAAAAACCAAAACAAACUAGCACCUUACAGCCAGGCAUAGUGGUGCUUGCCUUUAACCCCAGUACUUGGGAAUCAUAGGCAGGUGGGUCUCAGGUCUACACAGUGAAUUUCAGGACAGCCAGAACUACACAGGGGAAAACAUGUCACCUUGAAACCAAAGCCUGUGGCUGGAGAAAAGCAGAGGAGGAGGAGGGGGAGCAGCAGUGGAGGAGGAGGGGGAGCAGUGGAGGAUGGGGAGGAGCAGUGGAGGAGGAGGGGGAGCAGUGGAGGAGGAGGGGGAGCAGUGGAGGAUGGGGAGGAGCAGUGGAGGAGGGGGAGGAGCAGUGGAGGAGGAGGAGCAGCAGUGGAGGAGGAGGAGCAGCAGUGGAGGAUGAGGGGGAGCAGCAGUGGAGGAGGAGGAGCAGCAGUGGAGGAUGAGGGGGAGCAGCAGUGGAGGAGGAGGGGGAGCAGCAGAGGAUGGGGAGGAGCAGUGGAGGAUGGGGAGGAGCAGUGGAGGAGGAGGGGGGGCAGCAGUGGAGGAGGAUAGGGAGGAGCAGUGGAGGAUGAGGACAAGGUCUUUAAACCAACAUGCUGCCAGAUGUUCUGGAAUCAGGUCAUAGCAAGACAGCAAGGUACUCUGGACUGUCCAGCUGCCAAACUUUAUCCAACAUUCCUUUAUCCUGAACUCCACCUCCUGGUGGUUCUGAUCUUCUAUCUACAAACUGAGGGUCACAGGUCAUGAGUCUGAAGAUGAGGGUGCCCUACAAACCUGGGAGGAGCUCCAGAGGAACUAGAGCUGGCAGCACAUACGCAGGGAGGCCUCUCCUAGAAAGGCAGCUGCUGGA